GCCUCGUUAGCGCAGUAGGCAGCGCGUCAGUCUCAUAAUCUGAAGGUCGUGAGUUCGAACCUCACCCGGGGCA
rnacentral:tRNA from 1 species